rnacentral:rRNA from 1 species
AACGAACGCUGGCGGCACGUUUUAAGCAUGCAAGUCGAAUGGCAGCAGGGGCAACUCUGUGAGAAUGGCGAACGGGUGAGUAGCACGUAGGUGAUCUGCCUUGAGGAUGGGGAUAGCCUGUGGAAACACAGGGUAAUACCGAAUGAGCUGACGAGACUUUGGUUUUGUUAGUAAAGGUGCUACGGCACCGCCUUGAGAGGAGCCUGCGGCUGAUUAGCUAGUUGGUGGGGUAAGAGCUUACCAAGGCGACGAUCAGUAGCCGGCCUGAGAGGGUGUACGGCCACACUGGAACUGAGACACGGUCCAGACUCCUACGGGAGUCAGCAGCUAAGAAUCUUCCGCAAUGGGCGAAAGCCUGACGGAGCGAUGCCGCGUGAUCGAUGAAGGUCGAGAGAUUGUAAAGAUCUUUUCUACAUGAGGAAUAAGUCUGGGAGGGAAUGCCCGGAUGAUGACGUUAGUGUAGGAAUAAGCCCCGGCUAAUUACGUGCCAGCAGCCGCCGUAA